GGUUUUAACUGUUGUAAAUGAAUGUGUGACUUGAUCCUUUCUGAAGUUUUUUCUUCUUAACAAGGAAAUAAUUUGCAAAUUAUUGUGACUAAAAGGGGGCUACCUGGAGAAGGAAGGGCUCUUCCAGGUUAGAAAUUUACCCAAGACACACCAUAUGAUGAGCAAUUCAAGGAUGUCCAUACUGGAUUGAUCGCAGCCCGGGUUAAUAACGACCGCGCCAUCUAUCUCCCACCAGGGCGGACACAACAAGUAUACUACUGGUGUAACCCCAACAAAGAGGAUCUAUGGAAGAGAUAUCACCACAGCCACAUGGAAUGUAAGGACAUUGAGACAAAUAGGGAGGUUGAAAGAACUCACGUACGAAAUGAAACAACACACCUGGCAUCUCCUAGGAAUCUCUGAAGUCAGAUGAAAGAACUUUGGAGAGGCACUAACAGAAGAAGGCCAUGUACUCUAUUACAAUGGAGAGGACAAACAUGUCAACCGUGUAGGAUUUCUUGUGCAUAAAGAUAUCAAGAAUUCAGUAUUAGGAUGCUGCCCAAUGUCCAGCAGGCUUAUUUCCAUCUGUCUAAAGGCAGUACCAUUUAAAUAUCACAGUGGUACAAGUCUACGCCCCUACAACAGACUAUGAUGAUGAGCAAAUUGAAGACUUUUACAAUCAGCUCCAAGACAUCAUCGAUACGGUACACAAGAAAGAUAUCCUGAUUGUACAAGGAGAUUGGAGUGUUAAAGUAGGUACCAAUGCACAGGCAGAUUGGCGAGAUUGUGGCCCUUUCUGUAAUGCGGUAACCAAUGAGAGAGGAUUGAGACUUUGAGUUUGCCUGCUAUAACGAUCUGGUUCUUGCAAACACAUUAGGAGCACAUAAAGCAUCCAGAUGAUCAACAUGGCACACACCUAAUGGUCUACAUCACAACCAGAUUGACUACAUCAUGGUGCAAAACCAAUUUCGUUCUGGGAUUAACAGAGCUAAAACAAGGAGCUUUCACGGUGCUGAUAUGGGAAGUGUUCAUGACUUGUGAUGCAAAAUUUUUGGCUGCGGCUAAGGAAAAUCGUCAGGCCAAAGUCCACCAGAAUCAAGUUUGACUUAGAAAGACUCAGAGACCGAAACAUUGCAGAGACAUUCCAAGCAAUGAUCGGUGGAAAAUUUGCCCUGCUGCUUGCUCUAGAGAAAGUCAUAGAAACAAUGACCAACAAUUUCAAUGCUGUAAUGAAUGAGGUAGCAAUGGACAUCCUUGGAAACAUGUUAAGACAACAGAACCAUGGGUCACAAAUGAAAUAUUACAAAUGUGUGACAUUAGAAGAGAACUUAAGAGAGUCAAGAACAGCAAUGAGGGAACUGAUAAUACAGUAUUAUUGGCAGAAAGAUCAAAAAAGGUAUGAAGGUGGCCAAGGAGAUAUGGAUUGAAAAACAAUGCUCUAAAAUUGAAGAGUGUAUCAAUAAUAAAAAUAGCAAAUGAGCCUUCGAGGUUGUAAAAGAUCUGACAAAGGAAAGAUGGACCAAAACUAAUGCAAUUCAAGACAAAGAAGGGAACAGUCUUACAGAAGAAAGGGAUAUCAUCAAUAGGUGGAUAAACUACUGCUCUGAUCUAUACAACCACCAGACAAAUGGAGAUCCUAGUGUCUUAGACAGCCCAGAUUCAACAGAGGAUGACUUUCCAAUACUACAUGAAGAAGUGGAGACAGCUGUGAAAUCACUCAAGAACAGAAAGGCUACAGGUAUUUCCAACAAUCCCAGCCAAACUGAUGACAUUUGGAGGAUAAUUAUUAAUAGAUGUACUCACCAAGAUCUGCAACAAGAUCUGGCAGACCGGUGAGUGUCCCUCCACGUGGACACAGUCACUAAUCAACACUCUGUCAAAGAAAGGCAACCUGUAAUUGUCAAAAUAAUUUGCCUUUUAGCCGCAAAAUAUGGUGUGGAAAUCAGUGCAGAGAAAAAUCAAGCUGAUGACAAACAUGAUGGGAUCAGCUCACAUAUCACUAUCAAUGGAUAAGAGCUGGAGACAGUGAAACAGUUCAAGUAUUUGGGGGCAAUCACUGAUGAAGGAUCCAAGGCAGAAAUUCGGGCAAGAACUGCACAAACAACAGCAGCAGUGGCAAAGCUAAAGCCGAUUUGGAGGAAUAAGAAUAUCUCCCUGGAAUCCAAACUGAAACUGCUGCACGCAUUGUUCAUCUCCAUUUUUCCGUAUGCGUGUGAGACAUGGACCCUUACAGCAUAACUUGAAUGGAAAAUACAGGUAGUAGAGAUGAAUGCUUCCGUAAAAAUCCUUGGCAUCUAUUACUUUGACCACAUCACUAAUGAAGAGGUCCGCAACAUUAUCACCCCAUGCUCGAGGUCAUAUGAAGACGUUCGGACAAUCGUAGAAGCGCAAGCUGAAGUGGUAUGGCCAUGUAACAAGAUCUGGCCUAUCCAAGAUCAUCCAAGGGACAGUACAGGGGAAGAGAAGAAGAGGUAGGCAGAAGAAGAGAUGGAUUGACAAGAUAAAAGAGUGCAUAGGAGUGGACUUCACAGAGACUCAAGCACUGAGACACCAUCAUUAGGAGUGGAGACAAUUGGUUGAUUGCUCAUCAGUGAUGAUGCCCCAAUGACCAAUACAGUUAUGUGAGUGAUAAUGAUGAUGAAUUUGCAGAUCAGAAUAAAAGCUCAGAUUCCCAGCUGCACUGGGGCCAUUUUGUGUCUGUCUACCAGACCAAGACAGCUGUAAACUUGGCAAACCCAGCCAGUGAAAGAUCUCCCCUGUAUAUGGAAAUCUUCCUGUAGCAUAGGACUGCCAUAGUGACUCUUCAUCCCCUCAACUACCCUUCCUGCAUCUUCUCUUCCAGCUCCCCUGUGAAGAGAGAGCACCUAUGGGGAAAUAGGUGUGGCUGGGGUAUCCCUGCCCCCAGUGAUCAUCAGCUGCUGGAAUGGCCCUUCAGGGAUCUCUAGCAACUGGCAUAAAACAGCUCAACCUUGAUGCUGCGCUACUUUACAGAGGACAGGAGAGCAACCCAGCAUCUGGCUCAUCCAAGGACUGAGGUAGGGGAAAAUGUUUCCUUCCUCUUGCUCCUUUUAAGCUGAGCCAAGCACAGUUCAGAUGCAGCCCAGAAUCUGAUCCAAUGUCGAAAGGAGUUACCUGUCCAUUUUAGGUGGUUAGUUAUAAUUCAGACUUCUUUAGUCUCCUCAUAACUAGCCUCUAAAAACUUUAGUAAGGUUGGUAAUUAUCCCAUAAAAUUAUCUGCACUCAGACUUGGCAGUGGGUUUUACCAUCUGUAGGCAAAUUUUAAAAUAAGUCUCUGCAAAGAUCAAAAACAAGUGUUUACUUUUUCCUAAAUGCCUGUUCACAAAUCUUAUAAGAUGGGGCCUAGGAGAAGGCAGACUCCAAAGUUUAUAUUCACAAAGAUUUAAACAGAACAAGCUAUGUGAAAAUACAUUCCCAUAGGCCUCAGUUCUCAGCUCAGUCAUGCUUACACUGGACAGCAGCUGAGGAAGGGUUGGAGUAAGGUUGCUGAGAUCCACCAUCUCCUCACCCAGUCCUGGGGUAGGUCUGGAUCUUUAGGUUGUUCUGAGUUAUGUCAGUGACAAUGGCUUCCUCUCACCUUCUCCAUGUACUUUCCGUAACUCCUACACUGAGGGUCAGAACAGGUGGCAUAGAGCUGGCUAUACAUCAAUAGCAUGGAGCAUCUGGAUCAAGGGCCAAGGAUCUUGCCAAUAAAGAAUUUCCUGAGAGCCAUGGCUCUACCAACCUCUUAAAGCAACUGUGAGCCUCUGAAAUGUUCUAAGUCUUGGGUACUGCUGCUGGCAGGGGUUUUGUAGAAUUCUGACAUCUCUUUAAUGGAAAAAACCUCCAGAGCAUGAGAAGAAAUUGGAGAGAGUCCAGCGAAGGGCAACAAAAAUGAUUAGGGGACUGGAACACAUGAGUUAUGAGGAGAGGCUGAGGGAGCUGGGAUUGUUUAGUCUGCAGAAGAGAAGAAUGAGGGGGGAUUUGAUAGCUGCUUUCAACUACCUGAAAGGGGGUUCCAAAGAGGAUGGCUCUAGACUGUUCUCAAUUGUAGCAGAUGACAGAACGAGGAGUAAUGGUCUCAAGUUGCAGUGGGGGAGGUUUAGAUUGGACAUUAGGAAAAACUUUUUCACUAAGAGGGUGGUGAAACACUGGAAUGUGUUACCUAGGGAGGUGGUAGAAUCUCCUUCCUUAGAGGUUUUUAAGGUCAGGCUUGACAAAGCCCUGGCUGGGAUGAUUUAACUGGGAAUUGGUCCUGCUUUGAGCAGGGGGUUGGACUAGAUGACCUUCUGGGGUCCCUUCCAACCCUGAUAUUCUAUGAUUCUAUGAUUCUAAGAAUAGUGUCAUACCUACUCUGUUGAGUAAGUACUAUGGUGCAUGUACAAAAUGGGGAGAAGAUACCACAAAGUUAUGUAUUAAGUACUUUCCAUGUUCACUUCUAAAAAAAUCUGUAUAUGUUUGAAAUUCAUUAACAUUGAAAUUUGUUAACAUUCUAAAUGUUUGUAUAAAAGAAAUAAUACACACAAAAAAGUGACCUGGUUUGUUUUUCCGUAAUAAAAUAAACUAGAAUGCAAGAGUUUUUUGUUUCUGUCCAUUACUUAUCAGUUAUGAUGUAUAAAGAGGGAUUUCAACAUCAUUAAUCAUUUGUUUUCUUC